GCUCAGAACGAACGCUGGCGGCGUGCCUAACACAUGCAAGUCGAACGCGAAAGGGAGCAAUCCCCGGUAGCGUGGCAGACGGGUGAGUAACACGUGGGUAACCUACCCGGAGGUGGGGGAUAACCCUUCGAAAGGAGGGCUAAUACCGCAUGAUACCGCGGGGACCUCGGUCCUCGCGAUCAAAGCUGGCCUCUGUUUACAAGCUAGCGCCACCGGAUGGGCCCGCGCCCCAUUAGCUAGUUGGUGAGGUAACGGCUCACCAAGGCGACGAUGGGUAGCCGGCCUGAGAGGGCGAUCGGCCACACUGGAACUGCGACACGGUCCAGACUCCUACGGGAGGCAGCAGUGAGGAAUAUUGCGCAAUGGGCGAAAGCCUGACGCAGCGACGCCGCGUGGAGGAUGAAGGUCUUCGGAUUGUAAACUCCUGUCGAGUGGGACGAAUGCCGUAAGGGUUAACAGCCCUUGCGGUUGACGGUACCGCUGGAGGAAGCCCCGGCUAACUCCGUGCCAGCAGCCGCGGUAAUACGGAGGGGGCUAGCGUUGUUCGGAAUCAUUGGGCGUAAAGGGCGCGUAGGCGGCCGAUCAAGUCGGAGGUGAAAUCCCUCGGCUCAACUGAGGAAUUGCCUUCGAUACUGUUCGGCUUGAGUCCUGGAGAGGGUAGCGGAAUUCCCGGUGUAGCGGUGAAAUGCGUAGAGACCGGGAAGAACACCAGUGGCGAAGGCGACUACCUGGACAGGUACUGACGCUGAAGCGCGAAAGCUAGGGGAGCAAACAGGAUUAGAUACCCUGGUAGUCCUAGCUGUAAACGAUGGGCACUUGGUGUUGCGGGUAUCGACCCCUGCAGUGCCGAAGCUAACGCAUUAAGUGCCCCGCCUGGGGAGUACGGUCGCAAGGCUGAAACUCAAAU
rnacentral:rRNA from 1 species